AACACGGACCAAGGAGUCUAGCAUGUGCGCGAGUCAUUGGGAAUCACUAAACCUAAAGGCGCAAUGAAAGUGAAGGUCCGCCUCGCGCGGACCGAGGGAAGAUGGGCGUGCUCGCGUUCUCGCGGCCGCCCCGCACUCCCGGGGCGUCUCGUUCUCAUCGCGAGAGGAGGCGCACCAGGAGCGUACACGCUGGGACCCGAAAGAUGGUGAACUAUGCCUGGUCAGGACGAAGUCAGGGGAAACCCUGAUGGAGGUCCGUAGCGAUUCUGACGUGCAAAUCGAUCGUCGGAACUGGGUAUAGGGGCGAAAGACUAAUCGAACCUUCUAGUAGCUGGUUCCCUCCGAAGUUUCCCUCAGGAUAGCUGGCGCUCGUCGCCUACGAGUCUCAUCCGGUAAAGCGAAUGAUUAGAGGCAUUGGGGUCGAAACGGCCUCAACCUAUUCUCAAACUUUAAAUGGGUGAGAUCUCCGGCUUGCUCGAACUAUUGAAGCCGCGAGACACGGAUCAGAGUGCCAAGUGGGCCAUUUUUGGUAAGCAGAACUGGCGCUGUGGGAUGAACCAAACGUAGAGUUAAAGCGCCUAAAUCGACGCUUAUGGGAUACCAUGAAAGGCGUUGGUAACUUAAGACAGCAGGACGGUGGCCAUGGAAGUCGGAAUCCG
rnacentral:rRNA from 1 species